rnacentral:rRNA from 1 species
UGGGGAAUAUUGGACAAUGGGGGCAACCCUGAUCCAGCCAUGCCGCGUGUGUGAAGAAGGCCUUUUGGUUGUAAAGCACUUUAAGCAGGGGAGGAGAGGGCUAAUGGGUUAAUACCCCAUUAGAUUAGACGGUUACCUGCAGAAUAAGCACCGGCUAACUCUGUGCCAGCAGCCGCGGUAAUACAGAGGGUGCGAGCGUUAAUCGGAAUUACUGGGCGUAAAGCGAGUGUAGGUGGCUCAUUAAGUCACAUGUGAAAUCCCCGGGCUUAACCUGGGAACUGCAUGUGAUACUGGUGGUGCUAGAAUAUGUGAGAGGGGAAGUAGAAUUCCCAGGUGUAGCGGUGAAAUGCGUAGAGAUCUGGAGGAAUACCGAUGGCGAAGGCAGCUUCCUGGCAUAAUAUUGACACUGAGAUUCGAAAGCGUGGGUAGCAAACAGGAUUAGAGUACCCUGGUAGUCCACGCCGUAAACGAUGUCUACUAGGCCGUUGGGGUCCUUGAGACUUUAGUGGCGCAGUUAACGCGAUAAGU